GAAUCUUGCGCAAUGGGCGAAAGCCUGACGCAGCGACGCCGCGUGAGUGAUGAAGGCCUUAGGGUUGUAAAGCUCUGUGGAGUGGGACGAAUAAGUCGUGGCUAACAUCCACGAUGAUGACGGUACCUCUUUAGCAAGCACCGGCUAACUCUGGGCCAGCCGCCGCGGUAAGACAGAGGGUGCGAACGUUGUUCGGAAUUACUGGGCGUAAAGCGCAUGUAGGCUGUCGCGCAAGUCGGGUGUGAAAGCCCAGGGCUCAACCCUGGAAGUGCACUCGAAACUGCAUUGACUAGAAUCUCGGAGAGGGUAGCGGAAUUCUGGGUGUAGAGGUGAAAUUCGUAGAUAUCCAGAGGAACACCGGUGGCGAAGGCGGCUACCUGGACGAGUAUUGACGCUGAGAUGCGAAAGCGUGGGGAGCAAACAGG
rnacentral:rRNA from 1 species